CAGGCACACUGAACCAUAUGACUAGCAGCGAACAAUACAUCGUGGACCAAAGAGGAAACUGACAACACAGAGACCGAAGAAGACAGAGAAGGUCACUUCUGAUCGCUGUAGUGCCUCAGUCCAGUGGAGUGAUUGGGAGUCCCACGGAGGAGAUCGGAAGGAUAUAAAAGAGGAGUGAUGACAGUGAAGGACGAGGGAGGACCAGGCCUGGGCUUUAUUUUGUGUUU